rnacentral:lncRNA from 1 species
UGGCCAUGGGCUUAAGGACUCAAUCUUUCAAUUAUCAUAGGACUACUCCUCUCGUCUAUCGAGGUUGAUAGAUCCCAUCUUGGUGCGACCUAGUUCCUACAAUGAAUAUGCUACAGCCAACAUACACCUCAGGGUUUCGAAUGGCUAGGAGAUCGAGUUAUGGUGUAGUCAAAUUAUAACACACUCAAGGUAAACUAUCGAUGCACCUCAGGUCAAAGAACUAGACACAC